rnacentral:rRNA from 1 species
AUUGAACGCUGGCGGCAGGCCUAACACAUGCAAGUCGAACGGUAACAGGAAGAAGCUUGCUUCUUUGCUGACGAGUGGCGGACGGGUGAGUAAUGUCUGGGAAACUGCCUGAUGGAGGGGGAUAACUACUGGAAACGGUAGCUAAUACCGCAUAACGUCGCAAGACCAAAGAGGGGGACCUUCGGGCCUCUUGCCAUCGGAUGUGCCCAGAUGGGAUUAGCUAGUAGGUGGGGUAACGGCUCACCUAGGCGACGAUCCCUAGCUGGUCUGAGAGGAUGACGGGCCACACUGGAACUGAGACACGGCCCAAACUCGAACGGGAGGCGGCAGUGGGGAAUAUGGCAGAAUGGGGGCAAGCCUGUUCCAGCCUGGCCGCGUGAAUGAAGAAGGCCUUCGGGUUGUAAGGUACUUCAGCGGGGAGGAAGGGAGUAAAGUUAAUACCUUGGCUCAUUGACGUUACCCGCAGAAGAAGCACCGGCUAACUCCGUG